rnacentral:rRNA from 1 species
CUUAACUGAGAGAGGUCGUUGGAAACUGCAGGGCUUGAGGCAAUGAGAGGGGUGCGGAAUUCCCGGUGUAGUGGUGGAAUGCGUAGAUAUCGGGAGGAACACCAGUGGCGAAAGCGGCACCCUGGCAUUGACCUGACGCUCAUGUGCGAAAGCGUGGGGAGCGAACGGGAUUAGAUACCCCGGUAGUCCACGCUGUAAACGAUGAGUACUAGGUGUAGGUGGUGUAAAAACCGUCUGUGCCGAAGCAAACGCGCUAAGUACUCCGCCUGGGGAGCACGGCCGCAAGGCUAAAACUCAAAGGAAUUGACGGGGGCCCGCACAAGCAGCGGAGCGUGUGGUUUAAUUCGAUGCAACACGAAGAACCUUACCUGGGCUUGACAUGUACGUAGUAGUGAAGCGAAAGCGGAACGACCCUUCGGGGAGCG